rnacentral:rRNA from 1 species
GACGAACGCUGGCGGCGUGCCUAAUACAUGCAAGUCGAACGCAGUGGGGACGGGUGAGUAACACGUGGGUAACCUCCCAUCAGAGGGGAUAACACUUGGAAACAGGUGCUAAACCGAUACUGAUGGAUGGACCCGCGGUGCAUUAGCUAGUUGGGGGGGUAACGCCUCACCAAGGCCACGAUGCAUAGCCGACCUGGGAGGGUGACCGGCCAAAUGGGAACUGGAACACGGCCCAGAUCCCUACGGGAGGCAGCAGUAGGGAAUCUUCGGCAAUGGACGAAAGCCGGACCGAGAAACGCCGCGGGAGUGAAGAAGGUUUGCGGAUCGUAAAACUCUGUUGUUAGAGAAGCGGUAUCUAACCAGAAAGCCACGGCUAACUACGUGCCAGCAGCCGCGGUAAUUC